UGCAAACUGUAGGACUCUCAGUGUCAGCACACCUGCCUGCAUGCUCCCAUGCUCCCUGCCAUAAUGAUAACUGACUGAACCUCUGAAACAAUUCUAUCAAAGGAUUUACUCAUCAUCAGAAGAAAACUUGGAGCUUGGUUACUUUCUUCCCCUUUCUUCAGUUGGAUCGGUUUUUACGUUGAGUCACAUCAUGACAGGAUCUCACUAUGUAGUACCUGGAUGUCCUGGAAUACACAAGAUUUUUUUAUCAAAGGUGAGGGAGGAGGAGCAAGACCAAGAGACUCUUGGUUCUUAGCCUACAGCUUGGGAAGUCCAAAAGAACAGUACCAGCAUCUGUUCAGCCUUUUGUGGGGAUCCUGUAACCCUCAACUCGUGGCAGAAAGUCAAGGGCAAGGGUGGGUUUGGGAGACAAAACAUGAUGGGAAUUAUCCUGAACAGAAAAGCAAAUGCAUGCUAACUAGUCCCAUAUCUUACAAAAGUAAGAGUUCACUUGGGGGCAGCUCCCUUGAUUCAAAUGCUUCUUAGAGGAUUCACCACCUCUCAGCACCAUUCUAUUGGGUGGGAAUCAAGCCUCAACAUCAGCUUCAGACCACUACAUGUGGAUACGCCAAGGUAUAACCCAUGUAUAUAUUCAGGGGCACUUUGUGUGGCC
rnacentral:lncRNA from 1 species